rnacentral:rRNA from 1 species
GAUGAACGCUGGCGGCGUGCCUAAUACAUGCAAGUCGAGCGAAGCGGGGACGGGUGAGUAACACGUGGAUAACCUCCUAUAAGACUGGGAUAACUUCGGGAAACCGGAGCUAAACCGGAUACUUAUAGAUGGAUCCGCGCUGCAUUAGCUAGUUGGUAAGGUAACGGCUUACCAAGGCAAUGAUGCAUAGCCGACCUGGGAGGGGGGACGGCCCAACUGGAAAGUGGAACAGGUCCAGACUCCUACGGGAGGGAGCAGGGGGGAAUUUUCCGCAAAGGGCGAAAGCCGUAAGGGGCAACGCCGCGGGGGUGAAGAAGGGCUUCGGGUCGUAAAAAUCUUUUAAUAGGGGAGAGGGACCUAAUCAAGAAGCCACGGCUAACUACGGGCCAGGCGCCGCGGGAAUAC